AGUGAACGCUGGCGGUAGGCCUAACACAUGCAAGUCGAACGGCAGCACAGUAAGAGCUUGCUCUUACGGGUGGCGAGUGGCGGACGGGUGAGGAAUACAUCGGAAUCUACUUUUUCGUGGGGGAUAACGUAGGGAAACUUACGCUAAUACCGCAUACGACCUACGGGUGAAAGCAGGGGAUCUUCGGACCUUGCGCGAUUGAAUGAGCCGAUGUCGGAUUAGCUAGUUGGCGGGGUAAAGGCCCACCAAGGCGACGAUCCGUAGCUGGUCUGAGGGGAUGAUCAGCCACACUGGAACUGAGACACGGUCCAGACUCCUACGUGAGGCAGCAGUGGGGAAUAUUGGACAAUGGGCGCAAGCCUGAUCCAGCCAUACCGCGUGGGUGAAGAAGGCCUUCGGGUUGUAAAGCCCUUUUGUUGGGAAAGAAAAGCAGCAGGUUAAUACCCCGCUGUUCUGACGGUACCCAAAGAAUAAGCACCGGCUAACUUCGUG
rnacentral:rRNA from 1 species